GCUCGUUUGGAACAAAAUUUCUUCAAGUUAAUUUUUAUUCAAUUAAAUUUACUUUUAUAAUGAAAUUGUUGAUUAUUGUGCUGGUGUGUAAAAUCUGUGUAGCAAUUGAAAAUUCGGAUUCGGAUAUUACAAAAAUCACAACUAGUUCUCAAAAAGAUCAUGGAAGACUGAUUGGAAGAUUGGUAGAUGUAUCCGAAAAGAAAUAUGUUUUGGAGUGAAUUGAUUUUAACUUUGGUGAAAACAAAGUGCCUAAUGCAUUCGCACUUUCUGCACAUACCCCAGAAAACAAACAGAGUAAUGAACGUCGUUCAGGCUUCAGGCACAACAAAACAAAGAUAUACAUAUAUCUCCAAAUUAUAUUUUUUGUUAUUGGGGUUUUUUAUCGUGUUUUUUAUACCGUUUUUAAUUUUGGUGCGACUUCUAAGAAAAUGCACAGCAGGCUCAACAACGUCAUCAACUACAUCACUACCUCAGCCUGUACCACAAGUCCAAUAUGCACCAAGCCAUUCAAUCAGAUUCUCCCCAUCAGCGGCUACUCCACCACCAAGUUAUGAUUCUUUAUUCAAUUCAUCGACAAAUUCAAGCCCAUGGAUCUAUCCCUGAUUAUAUUUGACAAACCUAUAGAUUUAAGAGAAAAUAAGUCUGAUACACAAAAUUGAGUAGAGAUCAGGGAUUUGGUUUAAGUUAAAUUUUCUAUAAAAUUUUUUGUACUUGAAUUAUAAUGGUAUUUUUGAAAUAUAAUGGCAAUAAACAUUUUAAAAUAUAA